CGACGUCUUCAGGGCGGGGUGCAAUUCCCCACCGGCGGUAUGGCCUCAGGGCCGAGCCCGCGAGCGCUUUUGCCUCCCCCGGCAAAAGGUCAGCAGAUCUGGUGUGAUGCCAGAGCCGACGGUAACAGUCCGGAUGAAAGAAGAUGAAC
rnacentral:ncRNA from 2 species